CUCAUUAUAUAAGUUAUCGUUUAUUUGAUAGCACCUUACUACUUGGGUAACCGUGGUAAUUCUAGAGCUAAUACAUGCUGAAAAUCCCGACUUCGGAAGGGAUGUGUUUAUUAGAUUCAAAGCCAACGCCCCCCGGGCUCACUGGUGAUUCAUGAUAACCGCUCGAAUCGCACGGCCUUGCGCCGGCGAUGGUUCAUUCAAAUUUCUUCCCUAUCAACUUUCGAUGUUUGGGUAGUGGCCAAACAUGGUUGCAACGGGUAACGGAGGGUUAGGGCUCGACCCCGGAGAAGGAGCCUGAGAGACGGCUACUACAUCCAAGGAAGGCAGCAGGCGCGCAAAUUACCCAAUCCCGACACGGGGAGGUAGUGACAAUAAAUACCGAUAUAGGGCUCUUUUGGGUCUUAUAAUUGGAAUGAGUACAAUUUAAAUCCCUUAACGAGGAACAAUUGGAGGGCAAGUCUGGUGCCAGCAGCCGCGGUAAUUCCAGCUCCAAUAGCGUAUAUUAAAGUUGUUGUGGUUAAAAAGCCCGUAGUUGAACCUUGGGCCUGGCUGGCCGGUCCGCCUCACCGCGUGCACUGGUCCGGCCGGGCCUUUCCCCCCGCGGAACCCCAUGCCCUUCGCUGGGCGUGGCGGGGAAACGGGACGUUUACUUUGAAAAAAUUAGAGUGCUCCAGGCAGGCCUAUGCUCGAAUACAUUAGCAUGGAAUAAUGAAAUAGGACGCGCGGUUCUAUUUUGUUGGUUUCUAGGACCGCCGUAAUGAUUGAUAGGGACAGUCGGGGGCGUCAGUAUUCAACCGUCAGAGGUGAAAUUCUUGGACCGGUUGAAGACUAACUACUGCGAAAGCAUUCGCCAAGGAUGUUUUCAUUAAUCAGGGACGAAAGCUAGGGGAUCGAAGACGAUCAGAUACCGUCGUAGUCUUAGCCAUAAACUAUGCCGACUAGGGAUCGGGCGAUGUUAUUCUUUGACUCGCUCGGCACCUUACGAGAAAUCAAAGUGCUUGGGCUCCA
rnacentral:rRNA from 1 species